rnacentral:rRNA from 1 species
GGCUAACUACGUGCCAGCAGCCGCGGUAAUACGUAGGCAGCGAGCGUUGUUCGGAGUUACUGGGCGUAAAGGGUGUGUAGGCGGUUGUUUAAGUUUGGUGUGAAAUCUCCCGGCUCAACUGGGAGGGUGCGCCGAAUACUGAAUGACUUCGAGUGCGGGAGAGGAAAGUGGAAUUCCUGGUGUAGCGGUGAAAUGCGUAGAUAUCAGGAGGAACACCGGUGGUGUAGACGGCUUUCUGGACCGUAACUGACGCUGAGACACGAAAGCGUGGGUAGCAAACAGGAUUAGAUACCCUGGUAGUCCACGCCCUAAACGAUGCAUAUUUGGUGUGGGCAGUUCAUUCUGUCCGUGCCGGAGCUAACGCGUUAAAUAUGCCGCCUGGGGAGUAUAGUCGCAAGGCUGAAACUCAAAGGAAUUGACGGGGGCCCGCACAAGCGGUGGAGCAUGUGGUUCAAUUCGACGCAACGCGAAGAACCUUACCUGGGCUCGAACGGCUGGUCAACGGCGGUGGAAACAUCGCUACCCCGCAAGGGGGUCCAGUCGAGGUGCUGCA